UACGGAGGAUCCGAGCGUUAUCCGGAUUUAUUGGGUUUAAAGGGUGCGUAGGUGGAUUGGUAAGUCAGUGGUGAAAGUUUGCAGCUUAACUGUAAAAUUGCCAUUGAAACUGCCGGUCUUGAGUGCAAAUGAGGUAGGCGGAAUGCGUCGUGUAGCGGUGAAAUGCUUAGAUAUGACGCAGAACUCCGAUUGCGAAGGCAGCUUACUGGGAUGCAACUGACGCUGAGGCACGAAAGCGUGGGUAUCAAACAGGAUUAGA
rnacentral:rRNA from 1 species